GUCCUGGUUUGGAAGCACGUAUACUCCUAUUAAAGCGAUGCGGGGAUUAGCUUGGCUGGUUAGCAAGGAUGACACACAAAUUUGUGAAGUGUUCCGUAUUUUU
ensembl:snRNA U6 U6 spliceosomal RNA